GGCGUGCCUUUUGCAUAAUGAGCCUACGAGUUACUCUUCACUAGCAAGGUUAAGUUAUUAAGUGACGUAGCCGGAGCGAAAGCGAGUCUGAAUAGGGCGUUUAGUAUUUGGUCGUAGACCCGAAACCAGGUGAUCUACCCUUGGUCAGGUUGAAGUUCAGGUAACACUGAAUGGAGGACCGAACCGACUUACGUUGAAAAGUGAGCGGAUGAACUGAGGGUAGCGGAGAAAUUCCAAUCGAACCUGGAGAUAGCUGGUUCUCUCCGAAAUAGCUUUAGGGCUAGCCUCAAGUGAUGAUUAUUGGAGGUAGAGCACUGUUUGGACGAGGGGCCCCUCUCGGGUUACCGAAUUCAGACAAACUCCGAAUGCCAAUUAAUUUAACUUGGGAGUCAGAACAUGGGUGAUAAGGUCCGUGUUCGAAAGGGAAACAGCCCAGACCACCAGCUAAGGUCCCAAAAUAUAUGUUAAGUGGAAAAGG
rnacentral:rRNA from 18 species